CUAGUCUAUGCCAGUAAAUAGGCUACUGUUGGCUGGAGUGAGCUGAAAUUGCAUGAAUCGAGCUUGUGGAAUGGAGUUCUCGAGACCAUUCUUAUCUUCUCACUAAUCAAUAAGAAGACGACAGAAGAGGGAGAAACAAUAAGGAGUGAAAUACAUCGAUAAAUAGCCCUGAGGCUUGAUCUAAGGUUGGAACAUGAUCUGAAUUUUCUAGGUAUCAAAGCUCCGAUUUGUCGAUUGUUACCAAGUUCGGUUAAGCUUAGCAUUUCCAAGGCUUGGAAUUACCUAGAUAUCAUAUAUUGGAUCAAACUACGUUGAAGCCGGAAUCAAGCGGUUCAAGCUCGGAAUGCCAAACUUGAGCCAUGCCGGAAACUACCUUAAUAUACAAGCCCGUAUUUGCAUUACAUCACCAAGCUUGGUUGGAUCAUGGUAAUUCCAUAGAAUCAAGGUUGGCUCCAGCUAGGAAUUCCAUAGCUUGGUAUCCUAGGCUGAUCCAAGCUUGGGUCCAUCGUUCAAGCUUGGAUUUCCUCACCUGGGAUUCAGUAGAAUUGAUGGAAACAGUCACAAAACUAUUAGAAAGGAUUCUAAUAAACAUGUAUUUAUGAAUAAAUAUUUAUUAUAAAUAAUAUCAUCGGCUGAUAUUGGGCGGACAUCGGUGCCGUUG